rnacentral:rRNA from 1 species
GAUGAACGCCGGCGGCGUGCCUAAUACAUGCAAGUCGAGCGAAUGGAUUAAGAGCUUGCUCUUAUGAAGUUAGCGGCGGACGGGUGAGUAACACGUGGGUAACCUGCCCAUAAGACUGGGAUAACUCCGGGAAACCGGGGCUAAUACCGGAUAACAUUUUGAACCGCAUGGUUCGAAAUUGAAAGGCGGCUUCGGCUGUCACUUAUGGAUGGACCCGCGUCGCAUUAGCUAGUUGGUGAGGUAACGGCUCACCAAGGCAACGAUGCGUAGCCGACCGGAGAGGGUGAUCGGCCACACUGGGACUGAGACACGGCCCAGACUCCUACGGGAGGCAGCAGUAGGGAAUCUUCCGCAAUGGACGAAAGUCUGACGGAGCAACGCCGCGUGAGUGAUGAAGGCUUUCGGGUCGCAAAACUCUGUUGUUAGGGAAGAACAAGUGCUAGUUGAAUAAGCUGGCACCUUGACGGUACCUAACCAGAAAGCCACGGCUAACUACGUGCCAGCCGCCGCAGUAA